GACGAACGCUGGCGGCGUGCUUAACACAUGCAAGUCGAACGGUAAGGCCCUUGGGGGUACACGAGUGGCGAACGGGUGAGUAACACGUGGGUGAUCUGCCCUGCACUUCGGGAUAAGCCUGGGAAACUGGGUCUAAUACCGGAUAGGACCACUGCCUGCAUGGGUGGUGGUGGAAAGCUUUUGCGGUGUGGGAUGGGCCCGCGGCCUAUCAGCUUGUGGGUGGGGUGAUGGCCUACCAAGGCGACGGCGGGUAGCCGGCCUGAGAGGGUGACCGGCCACACUGGGACUGAGAUACGGCCCAGACUCCUACGGGAGGCAGCGGGGGGGAAUAGUGCACAAUGGGCGCAAGCCUGAUGCAGCGACGCCGCGUGAGGGAUGACGGCCUUCGGGUUGUAAACCUCUUUCAGCAUCGACGAAGCGUAAGUGACGGUAGGUGCAGAAGAAGGACCGGCCAACUACGUGCCAGCAGCCGCCGUAA
rnacentral:rRNA from 1 species